CAAUAUUUCUACUCUCUGCCAAGAACGGAUUUAUCGUGUAACUUUGAUAACUUGCCUUCCGGUUGGGAAGAGAACAAGUUACCGUAGCGACAAACUGUACAUUUGUAGUUAACUAAUACGAAGAGCGCUGCAAUAAAGGAAAUGUCUAAAAAACAGAAAGCCAGACGCCGCUUGCUCUUCGAAUUAAUAAUUUAUUUUACUACACCCCCUAUCGUGCAGUCAACUACGACUUGAUUCUUUCAAUUCCUUGUUUCAUGUGCCCACUGUACGUAAUAAAGGUGGAAGUUUGGACGUGCGUGGUCAGGUCAUAUGCGGUCGCACGAAUACGAUAGGUCAUUCGAUAAGAGCCUGCCCGCGGGACACAGCUGCUGCUAGGGUGCGAAAGGCAGCAUUUUGUGCUUGGUUCCGAGAGUGCGAAUUAUUCUAUAAAGAGGUUACCAAAGUUGUAAAGUUAAAUGAAAAUAGAGCCGCGAAGAAGGAACGUCAAUCAGGUGGUGGACAUCCAAUAAAACAACAGCGUCAACAAUGCCAACCCUGCCAUACGUUCGGUCCAGACAUACAAAGCGUUCAUUGGCAAAAAUCGAACGUGAAGAAAAGACCACAUUUACAAAGAUCUUCUUCCGUUUCUUCGACCACAUUGUAUAUUUAAUGGCAUCGCGAUGGGACUCAGGUUCAGAAAGCCCAUCCUAGGGGCGUAUGUCAUUUCAGGCCUAGGAAGACGGAGACCUGACACGGCAGUGGUCCGCUCAAGCACAAGCGUGAUGUUUCCAGCUUCGCCACAGCUUCAUACGAAUAAAUAAAGAUCAGAUUAGCUCGCUUUGCUGAUAUGGCGUUUACGAUAGCGGUAGCUUUAUUUGUAGUCGUAUUGAGCCGCUUUACACAAGUGCAUAGUAUUGCAGGGCCCAUGAGCAGUGUACAUCAGCUAAAGGUAAUAACAAUAGCGUGAUCUUCCACAGCAAGCCAUCUGUGAAAUGCUCUGCAACUCUAUCAAACCUGGAAGUAAGAUGCCUAAUUUGGCCUCGGCUGAGAGCCGACAGAAAUUAAUUGACCUGUGGGCGAUGCAGGGUAAUCGUCUAAACGGUUUAGUAAUGACCCCACACGUUCGCGAGCUGUUCAGGGUCUAUUUUCGAGAAGUCAGUAUUUGCUUCUCAGUUAAUUUUCGAGAGCGACUCCUUCAACGCCGAAGUCAGCAGCGAUCUUCUAUCACUGUGAAGUUAAUCUACGGUGACGGAACAUCCGUGACGUUCAAGGAGGGACACAUUGAAACAUUGGUUUUAACUCUUGGAUAUCCGGAAUCAGCUGUCAUCCGUUGCAUAACGAUCUCGUACGAGGACGAUGGAAAGAUUGUGCGCCGUGUUGAAGAUUUCCCAGUCCUAUGCUUCGAGAUUUUGUUUCGUUCCAUAUUCAAUGGGAAGUACAUUUUACAGAUCAGGUGCCGGGAUGGAAAAGACAUAAAGGACGACCCUGAUCCAAAGAACUGUGUCAUAAUAUACCUGUCUGCGGAGUGGGAUCCGCUAAAGCGGGGUCUCCCAGCACUUGGCAACACGGGUGAGAUAAGUUUAUCAACUUCAGCUAGUCGUUGAUAAAGUCGUUUACUCAUUCCGAACACCGCGGCCAGAACCGUACCGAACAGACUGAAGUUCCGAGAUCAAAGUAACCACUCGUUUGUAUCGAUGGUGAUGACGACGAUGCUGAUUAUGAUUAUGGGGUCGAGGCAAAUUAGUUACCGAAAAAAUGCAAACGGCAAAAUCAACGUUUUAAUUAAAAUGAAUG